rnacentral:rRNA from 1 species
CCUACGGGUGGCAGCAGUGGGGAAUAUUGGACAAUGGGCGAAAGCCUGAUCCAGCCAUGCCGCGUGAGUGAAGAAGGCCCUAGGGUUGUAAAGCUCUUUCAGCGGGGAAGAUAAUGACGGUACCCGCAGAAGAAGCCCCGGCUAACUUCGUGCCAGCAGCCGCGGUAAUACGAAGGGGGCUAGCGUUGUUCGGAAUUACUGGGCGUAAAGCGCGCGUAGGCGGACAUCUAAGUCAGGGGUGAAAUGCCAGGGCUCAACCUUGGAAUUGCCUUUGAUACUGGAGGUCUGGAGUUCGGGAGAGGUGAGUGGAAUUCCGAGUGUAGAGGUGAAAUUCGUAGAUAUUCGGAGGAACACCAGAAGCGAAGGCGGCUCACUGGCCCGAUACUGACGCUGAGGCGCGAAAGCGUGGGGAGCAAACAGGAUUAGAUACCCGAGUAGUC